rnacentral:rRNA from 1 species
UACGUAGGCAGCGAGCGUUGUUCGGAGUUACUGGGCGUAAAGGGUGCGUAGGCGGUUGUUUAAGUUUGGUGUGAAAUCUCCCGGCUCAACUGGGAGGGUGCGCCGAAUACUGAAUGACUAGAGUGCGGGAGAGGAUAGUGGAAUUCCUGGUGUAGCGGUGAAAUGCGUAGAUAUCGGGAGGAACACCUGUGGCGAAAGCGGCUCACUGGACCAUUACUGACGCUGAUGGCUCGAAAG